AGAGUUUGAUCAUGGCUCAGGACGAACGCUGGCGGCGUGCCUAAUACAUGCAAGUCGAGCGACGAAACCGGAAGGGGUAACCCUUCUGGUGGAAAGCGGCGAACGGGUGAGUAACACGUGGGUAACGUGCCCCAGACUCCGGGAUAACAACGGGAAACCGUUGCUAAUACCGGAUAACCCCAGCGGACCGCAUGGUCUGCUGGGCAAAGUUUUUCGGUCUGGGAUCGGCCCGCGGCCUAUCAGCUUGUUGGUGGGGUAACGGCCUACCAAGGCUCUGACGGGUAGCUGGCGUGAGAGCGUGGCCAGCCACACUGGGACUGAGACACGGCCCAGACUCCUACGGGAGGCAGCAGUAGGGAAUCUUGCGCAAUGGGCGAAAGCCUGACGCAGCGACGCCGCGUGAGGGAUGACGGCUUUCGGGUUGUAAACCUCUUUCAGCGGGGACGAAGCCUCACGGUGACGGUACCCGCAGAAGAAGGUCCGGCCAACUACGUGCCAGCAGCCGCGGUAAUACGUAGGGACCGAGCGUUGUCCGGAAUCAUUGGGCGUAAAGCGCGCGUAGGCGGCCGUCCACGUCGGGUGUGAAAGCUCGGGGCUCAACCCUGAGAGGCCACUCGAUACGGGACGGCUAGAGGCAGCUAGGGGAGAGUGGAAUACCUGGUGUAGCGGUGAAAUGCGCAGAUAUCAGGUGGAACACCGGUGGCGAAGGCGGCUCUCUGGGGCUGAUCUGACGCUGAGGCGCGAAAGCUGGGGUAGCAAACAGGAUUAGAUACCCCCGUAGUCC
rnacentral:rRNA from 1 species